rnacentral:lncRNA from 1 species
GAGCGGCCCUACCCCCUCUAAGUGGUCUGCCAUCUGACCUAAGGACUAGGCCAGCCCUGGACCUGGCCGCCUAACCUGGACCCAGGCAGGAAUAAGAUCCCUGCUGUUCUGAUCUGCUGUUCUCUUCCCAGUCUUAGCAGCCUCCUUUUACAGAUGGGGACCAGUCCACAUCUUAGAGGAGUUAGGAUGACCAUAGGACAUCAAGUACCUCCCUCACCCACCCACGUCUACCCUAGAAUUUCCAUGGCAACUAGGGCAGUGAGACUACUUUGAGGACAGCCAUAUAAGUUCUAGGUGAAUGACUGGUAGGCAUGCAUCCCAACACGCCCACGAGCCCUCAACGCAGAACCCUCCCCUGAAGAGGAUCUGCAGCCCUCAAACAGCCUGGACAAGGACGGGAGUGAAGGAGCACCACUGAUGCCAUACCUUGAUAGUGGUGAACUCCUUUCUCCAGGGCAGCAGGGAGUGGGAGUACACAGUGGGUGUAUGAUCACUGGUCGCCAAGAUGUGCCUAGCGGAACCGGUCUGAACCAGGCUGGACUUUGGCUCCUCAAGCCAACCCACAGAAUAGCCAAAUACCGGCUAGGCGGGGCCUGUCUUGGCAGAUCAUGGACCAAAGGAGGCAGCCACAAAAUGACAAGCUGGUACUCGACAAGGCCAAGGCCACGUUUAGUGAACUCUUGCAGCCCCAUGGUAACAAGCACUGGGAUAAAGGAAUUCAAGUCAGGCGUCUCCUGGGUGCUGCCGGAACCAAAAGAAGUUGGACUUCAAGGUGGAGGCAUAGGCUCAACAUCAUGCCGAGGAAAUCCAAAGCGAUGCCGGGAGAGGUUGGAACACAAGUGUUCAAUAAAUGCCCAAUAACCAAGUUACAUCUAGCCUGACUCCAAGAGGCUCCAACGACCCCACUACUACUGCCGUCUGGGACUGGAAACUCCCCCGUGUCCUGCCACCACCUCCUCACAGCAACCCCAGCUGCCAUGGGUAUUUCCUUUCUUGGGUGGGUCAGCUCGCCUCCGUGGAAGAUGCUGCCUGUGCUCGGAUGCCAGCAUCACCCUAGGGCCCCAGCAGAACCAAAGGGCAUCGCUGUGUGGGACAGUCCAUUGUGUGUGAGAGUAGGCUGAAGAUUACUCAGGCGCCUUCAGGGAACUGCUGUGGGCUCAGGACUACAGUAAUGACUCAAUUCCAGCCGUCCUAAUGGUACCCUGCAGACACUUGCUAUCCCAGAGCGGGGAAGUCCACAAUUUCCUGGCUGGGAACAGCCCUGGGAAGAGACUGCUUCUGUGCAGAGGAUCUGGGGUUGGGCUGUCAGCUGUGAUCUCUAGGAGGCUGGCUGUGUUGCCUGAGUCUUGGCUGCCUAGUGGGUAAACGAACAAGUCACAUGGACUUCGG